CAUUGUCGAUAUCGAACGUAAGGACGACCCGCGAACAGUCAUUGCGAAACAGGGAGGGCCCGGGGGCGCACGACGCCCACGCGGCUCGCGUCGCGUCGGCGUGGACCUACUCCAGGCCCUCGCCGUACCGACGGGAAAACAACUUCAGCACGGAUCGUGCCAAGGAGCUGCACGGAGAGAAUCGCCUCCCCACGUCUUCGGUCGCCCUCGAUGAGGGACGGUAGGCGGUGGGGCGCGAGCGAUCUCUGCUCAAGUCUAAAUGACUCUCGGCAACGGAUAUCUCGGCUCUUGCAUCGAUGAAGAACGUAGCGAAAUGCGAUACUUGGUGUGAAUUGCAGAAUCCCGCGAACCAUCAAUUCUUUGAACGCAAGUUGCGCCCGAAGCCAUUCGGCCGAGGGCACGCCUGCCUGGGUGUCGUGAAUCCACUUGCCCCAGGGCACCCUUGUUGGUGCACGGGCGCAGAACGUGGUCUCCCGUGCGAUCGGCACGCGCGUCGUGUCGUGGCGCGGUUGGCCGAAAGAAGAGCAUGGAGGCGACGAGCACGACGGCGUUCGGUGGAUCGAAUGAGAUUGGCUGCGUCGUGGUGUCUCGGAACGCGUCUCGCUCCGGGCUAUUUACGAUCCAUAGUGCGA
rnacentral:rRNA from 1 species